GCCUGCCUCAGUCCCCCUUUUGCCUAGCCGUGGAGACCUCCCUUCUUGGGAUGCUUGGGGAACUCAGCCGCUCUCCGGAGGCUGGCAGAAUCUCUGGGGUUUGAGACCAGCUGCUGAUGGGAUGAAUCAUCAUCACGCCUUGGAGCCGAGCCUGGGCGCUCCAGACCUCCAGGGCCACCAGCUGUUGGGUUCAUCGCAGGGGACCGUCACAUGGGUGUGAUGUGUCUUUGUGUGUUUGCGUGCAGGUUCAAGAAGACGUGGAAGCCACAGGCCCUGAAAGAGUGCAAGACGGGCGUGCACCCGCCGUAUUCCCUGGGGCAGUCCAAGCCCACCAUUGUGCUGGCUCCCCUCCUUUCCCCACCUGUGUCCCCCAGCAGCCUCGGCUCAGACAGCACCUCGAGCCACAGCCGACCAGAUGCCAGGGACUCGCGGAGCCCUUACGACAUCAGCAACAGAGACUACUUCUUCGCCAGAUAGCUGUCUGGGUGGCCCCUGGCAGCGGGGUGACAGAGGUGCUGAAUUGUGUGGGUGACGCAGCCCACGCUGGCUCUGGAAAGACGCUUCUCACUGCCAUUCCAGCUCAUCUCAGGGGCGUGGGGCAUUUGGCUUCACGGUGACGGAAGAGCCUGCAGAAGGUUCUAGACUGGUGGAAAUCGGCUUGCUACACCUGUUCUGAAGGAAGAGCUGGUUGAGCUUUCAAACCGCUCUUCCCAAGCGCUCUGCUUCGGGGGGUCUCAGCGACUCAGGACACUGUGAAGAGAGCCGCGCCAAGACUCGAUGGGACCGAGGGUGUGGAGGAGCUGCCGGGCACCCCCACACCCGGACUCAUCUCUGCCAGCCGAACCCUCAGGCAGGGGCAGGGGCUUCCAGGAGGCCUGCCGUGGUGGCUGGCUCCUGCCCCUGCCCAGUCGCACCUUGUCCCUCCGACUCUGGAAACCCAAGUGCCUUUGCCAUUCUGUUUCCUGGACUGAGGAUGGCUUUGUGCAAACCACUGAGGCUGGGGAGGGAGCUCUUUCCUGCCUUCCCCCCACACUUGAAAAGCAGCUGGUGUGUGAGUGUGAGUGUGAGUGUGUGUGCAGGGGGUGGUGAAUAAGUCUCAGGGCCGAUGGUUUAAGUGGAAUCAUAAUCAGCUCCUCACGAGUGUUGUGCUCAAUGUGAAUGAUAACCCUAGGCUUUUGCUGGCUACAGAAGCAGCUGCGCCAACUUUGUCCCCCUGUUGGGGUCUCAGGGCUUGAGGACAGAAGCAGAGAGGAAGGAGGGGAGUAGGGACAGGGUCUUCAAGGUCCCCUGUUGUAGCUGAGGGGGACCCCAGCCUCUGGAAACCAGUUUCCUCUCCCCCCUGCCAGUGCUGGGAGCCAAGUCAGUUGACUUCAUCUUGGUUGGUUGGGGUGCCGACCGGACCUGAGUGAUCAGUGUAGACGGUGUCGGUGUGAAAGGAAAAACGAAUCCGCAAGAAUGUGCUUCGUGUUUUUGAAAACCUGCUCUUUUCUCUUGAGGUGCUGGGAGCCUCAGUCUUCUCUGGAUUUCGGUUUAUAAAUAACUUGGGGCGGGGCACGAUGAUUCUGUUUAGCACCAAAGCAAGUCCACUCAAAAAAGGAGGAGGAGGAGAAGAAGUUUCCCUUAUGGAGAAGAGAUUCUGGUUUCAUUCUGUAUUUUGUUUUUGUCUUGCAAACCGUAAAAAUAGUCUCUGCCUCUUCUCUGAAUUGGGGAAAAAGUCACUUGUGACUGUCCCCCUGCCCCUCCCCUAGGUGGUUAGGAAAGAAAGGGUGUCCCCCUUCCUGUUGUGAUGCCGCCCACGAGUACCCGGCAGGGUCCUAGAAAGUCCCCACUGAGACUCAGAAGGGAGGUUCAUUUUUUUAAAAAUAUAAAUCCCUUACCUGGGUUUCUUCCUCUUUUUGUUUUGUUCCUUGAACUGGAUUCGGCUCAGCUCCCAUGGAAGCAGCCGAUGGGUGUCCAGCUGUGACACCCGUAACCACCAGCUCACUUUCCUGUCGGGGCUUUGAGAACUCAGUGAUGUUAGUGUCACCCAGACAGGUGACCACAGAGGAGAGCGGUGAUUAAAACGAGCUGUGGAGCCACAGACCCUGAAUUUACCAGACCACAAGGCUUUUCUAGAAGUUUACCCUUUUAGAAAAACACCACCGCCACCAGACACGUGGCGAAGGGUGGAAGCCCCCAUGUGUUCGCCAAGCGCCGGGUUCUGGGCGUCACUGUCUCGAGCCCUGGUGGCUCUCACAUCCUGCCGUCUUAGGCGGGUGGUCCACGGGGUUGACAAGAGUCAAGCAGGUGUUCAUGGCUCUCCUUUCCCCCCGCUCUGUCAGGUUUCUGAAUCACAAAAAUGCUGUGAAAGGAAAUGUUAGAAUGAGGAUCUGCAUGAGAGAGUGCGACUCUGCCCACGGCUCUUUAACUCUCACACAGUUCUGCCCACAGCCAGGCAGGGCCGCUGGUGGGGGACGUGAGAUCCAGAGAGUUCAUCGUCUCUGAGAGCGAGGCAGCUUUGAUCUCCAAAUUGUUAUUGCUUUCACUAUUAUUGUACCGGAACUGCCUUUUCUUUUGGGGGGAGGCGGUAUCACAGAGGGUUCCCCCCUUUACUUGUUGUAAGCUAGUGCCAGUGGAGGAAAGGCUGGCCUCUCUGGGCUCAGAGUCUGCUUCGUGGCCAGGCCCCUGCCUUAGGCUUUCUGUGUCUGAAUGGUUCCUGGACACGUGUCUCUGUCCACUAGUCCCAUGGAUCACUCUUCCUUAGGUCCCUGCAGUCCACAGGCUGCCUUGGAUCCUCAACAGGGCCGACACUACCUACGGCCUGCGCCCUCAGCCACAUAGCCAGAUGUUGAAGUGUGUGGACAGGGACCAUUGAAGGAGGAGGGAUGCACGAAUUUAGAAGCCCAUCUUGUUGGGUGGGCCCAGUCGAAAAUAUGCUGGACCCAGGUCUAACCUAAAGUGAUCAUCAGUUCUUGUAGCAUUAAUGACAUGUUUUUAAAAAAACAUUGGAUGUGUGUCGUACAAGGUCUUUGGGGGACUCCGCGGUUUGCUCUGAUGGGGUCUCCCCCUGGCCGUUUGUUUGCCGGACCCUGAACUCACACUGGGCCUCCACCACUUCCCCGCUGUCUCAGGAGCAAGGCGUGGGCUCCGUUGUGGGAACUGGUUUGGGAGCCCCGUGGUCCUGAGUAGAGCCCAGCGGGCAGCCUGGGGCUGGCCAUGGCUUGUGAGUCUCUUGAAGAUUGUUCCGGAAUGUCUUGCCCAGCUGCUCCGGCGCUGUCUGUUCCCAUUGCAGGUCCUUAACAUUGACCCACUUGGGAAGGUGUCCCACCCCCAGUUCCAGGUGGAGAUGGUGACAAAUCUGUCCUCAUUUGGAGACGGGAGCCACCAACGGUCCUUCUCCAAACAGCAACCUGCAAUGGGGCUGUGGCCAGAAGGCUCCAGCAGCUGCCUCCGGCUUUGGGCCAGGCACUCCCAGGCGUCCCCUAAAAGUCCUUCCAGCCUCUGUCCCUAGUGUGGCUGGGCGCCAGCUCCAGGGAGUUCCCAUGGCAACCUUGAUGAUCGUUAAGGAACAUUGUCAGUUUUCUGAACAUGUGCUCAGAUGGAGAUCUGCUUUGGAAGGGAAGGACUGGGACAGCGAGAGACCUCGCUGGAGGAGCCCACGCCUGCUGACCACGAUACCUCAGCUCUGCAUCGCUUUUGGAGAGAAAUAGAUCAUCGUUUUAAGGGACUUCCCUCUUAAUUACCUGAAAACCAAUACCAAAGGCUGAUGUCAGUGUAUUUUGAUUUUUCAACGCUUUUUUCCUUUUAUCGCUAUUUUGCACUUAAAGUGAACAUGGUAAAUGUUUGAAAUAAAUAAUUUCUAAAAAAAGACACUUGAGAUGUCA
rnacentral:lncRNA from 1 species